UAGAAUUUUAUUAAAGUAUAAAGGAGAUAGAGAAAGCUUCUGACAUUGACAUCAAAAGGGGGCAGAAAGAGUACCCCCUCACUAGUGUUAGCAAUGGAGUUAUAUACUUUUUAAUUACUUAUUACAGUGAGUCAAAAGAAUGCCUGGAGGUUGUAAAGACCUCAUUAGACCCACUCCCAUAAUUUACAUUUUAAGAUAACAGGAUUAGCCAGACGGUUUUUUCCAGAGACUGUCCUCAAGCAGAAUACAUUAUUGUUAUAUAAUCCUAAGGAAUGUAGAGAGAAAAAAAACGAUGGUCCUUUCUUCCUCCUUGAGAAUUCCAGACCUCUCUCUCCUUGGGGACCCCUAGACUUCUUAUCAACCUGCCUAGGAAUUGACUGUCUUGGGGGCAGUGGUCUGGGAGGUGAUCUAGGGUUAGCCUGCUGGGGAGAUGGUUGCCAUACAAGAUGUGACUCCGAGCUGUUGAAGAAGGUGGAUUUUUGACGGAGGGGCCUUCGGUUCAGUCGCUCAGUCGUGUCUUACUCUUUGUGACCCCAUGGACUGCAGCACACCAGGCCUC